UACGUAGGGUGCAAGCGUUAAUCGGAAUACUGGGCGUAAAGCGUGCGCAGGCGGUGAUGUAAGACAGAUGUGAAAUCCCCCGGGCUCAACCUGGGAACUGCAUUUGUGACUGCAUCGCUGGAGUGCGGCAGAGGGGGAUGGAAUUCCGCGUGUAGCAGUGAAAUGCGUAGAUAUGCGGAGGAACACCGAUGGCGAAGGCAAUCCCCUGGGCCUGCACUGACGCUCAUGCACGAAAACGUGGGAGCAAACAGG
rnacentral:rRNA from 1 species